rnacentral:misc_RNA from 1 species
AAGUCGUAACAAGGUUUCCGUAGGUGAACCUGCGGAAGGAUCAUUACAGAUAUACAUUAAAAUAUAUCUUCCAACCCCCCUUCAUUGUGAACUUUUGGUGCAAGUCAAGCUAAAAGCCCCUAUCUAGAUAGGGGCAUUGCCCCUAUUUCAUAGGGGUAGUAUAUUGGCCUUGCAAUCCAAUUUUUUUCAUAUACACAUCUAUUACAAAUGUAUAUAUGCAUGAUCUAUAAAAUAAAACAUAACUUUCAGCAACGGAUCUCUUGGCUCUC